AAAUUAUCAAACCGUCAACCAGAAGUAAACACAUCACUUUGGACCACUCAAAGACACAGUCUACCUGCUGUUUAACCCAGUCUUUGGUCAGAGGUGAAGAAGAGAUGACAUCCUCCACACCAUCCCCCUGCUGCUCUCAACAACCAUCAUCGCUGUGCUGGACAGACUGCAGCACCCACCGGGACCCUUCUCUCAUGGACUACACAAACAUGUGUUUUACCUGCUUGUGCUCCAGAUGUCCUGAAGCAGCUCUCAAGGACCACCAGACACCAGGCUGAAGCAGAACUGAUGCUGUAGUACCUGUCACUCACUGGGCUCGUUCCUGCUGAACCUCCAAGAAAUAAACCCCUCUUCAAGAAAGUCUGAGGUAAUGUCUUGGUGAACUUGUGUUCAUUUAUUUUUUCUUACUUAUCUUAGCUGCUGUAUUAAUGCUUGUGACGCUAUUGUACAGCUCUGCUGAUAUCGUCUUUAACAGCAGUGUUUUCUCCCAGGUCUUCUUCAAGCCAGUUAAGAGAGGAAGAACAGCUUAGACACUCAGGCAGCUGAACGCACCAAAGGUGGACAUCAUGCAGCCACCCUGAGCCUUGAGUCUCUCUGUGUGAGGAAG
rnacentral:lncRNA from 1 species